CGCGAUUCGCCCUUCGGGGUGCCCAGGCGCGAAAACUUUGCACUUGGCGAAAGCCUGACAGGGCUAUCCCGAGUGCCAUCCGCUGAGGAAGGCUUUUACCCAGUCUAGAACGCUGGGGGAAUAAGGAGAGGGCAAGUCUGGUGUCAGCCGCCGCGGUAAUACCAGCUCUUCGAGUGGUGUGGAUGUUUAUUGGGCCUAAAGCAUCCGUAGCUGGCUAAGUUAGUCCCUUGUUAAAUCCACCGAAUUAAUCGUUGGAUCGCGGGGGAUACUGCUUGGCUAGGGGACGAGAGAGGCAGACGGUAUUUUCGGGGUAGGGGUGAAAUCCUAUAAUCCCGGGAAGACCACCAGUGGCGAAGGCUGUCUGCUAGAACGCGCCCGACGGUGAGGGAUGAAAGCUGGGGGAGCGAACCGGAUUAGAUACCCGGGUAGUCCCAGCUGUAAACGAUGCAGACUAGGUGUUUGAACGGCCACGUGCCGUUCUAGUGCCGCAGGGAAGCUGUUAAGUCUGCCGCCUGGGGAGUACGAUCGCAAGAUUGAAACUUAAAGGAAUUGGCGGGGGAGCAC
rnacentral:rRNA from 1 species